rnacentral:tRNA from 14 species
GGUAGAGCGCCUCACUAGUAAUGAGAAGGUCCCGAGUUCGAAUCUCGGCGG